GUGAAGACCCUUGCGGUUGGAAGCGGAAAGAGGUUGCAAGUGAAAAGGUGGCUGCGACUAGUUUAACAAAAACACAGUACUGUGCAAACACGAAAGUGGACGUAUACGGUGUGACGCCUGCCCGGUGCCGGAAGGUUAAGUGAUGGGGUGCAAGCUCUUGAUCGAAGCCCCGGUAAACGGCGGCCGUAACAAUAACGGUCCUAAGGUAGCCGAAAAUUCCCUUGUCGGGUAAGUUCCGACCCGCACGAAUGCGGGUAACGAUGGCCACACUGUCUCCUCCAGAGACUCAGCGAAAUUGAAGUGUUUGUGAAGAUGCAAUCUCCCCCGCGGCUAGACGGAAAGACCCCAUGAACCUUUACUGCAGCUUUGCAUUGGACUUUGACGGGACAUGUGUAGGAUAGGUGGGAGGCUGUGAAGCGGUGACGCCAGUCAUCGUGGAGCCAACCUUGAAAUACCACCCUUGUGUCUUUGAGGUUCUAACCUGGACCCCUUAUCGGGGUCGGGGGACCGUGCAUGGUAGGCAGUUUGACUGGGGCGGUCUCCUCCCAAAAGGUAACGGAGG
rnacentral:rRNA from 1 species